rnacentral:rRNA from 1 species
ACGAACGCUGGCGGCGUGCUUAACACAUGCAAGUCGAACGGAAAGGCCCUGCUUUUGUGGGGUGCUCGAGUGGCGAACGGGUGAGUAACACGUGAGUAACCUGCCCUUGGCUUUGGGAUAACUUCAGGAAACUGGGGCUAAUACCGGAUAGGAGCUCCUGCUGCAUGGUGGGGGUUGGAAAGGUUCGGCGGUUGGGGAUGGACUCGCGGCUUAUCAGCUUGUUGGUGGGGUAGUGGCUUACCAAGGCUUUGACGGGUAGCCGGCCUGAGAGGGUGACCGGCCACAUUGGGACUGAGAUACGGCCCAGACUCCUACGGGAGGCAGCAGUGGGGAAUAUUGCACAAUGGGCGGAAGCCUGAUGCAGCAACGCCGCGUGCGGGAUGACGGCCUUCGGGUUGUAAACCGCUUUCGCCUGUGACGAAGCGUGAGUGACGGUAAUGGGUAAAGAAGCACCGGCUAACUACGUG